rnacentral:misc_RNA from 1 species
GAAAUGCGAUAAGUAGUGUGAAUUGCAGAAUUCAGUGAAUCAUCGAAUCUUUGAACGCACAUUGCGCCCCUUGGUAUUCCAUGGGGCAUGCCUGUUCGAGCGUCAUUUGUACCCUCAAGCUCUGCUUGGUGUUGGGUGUUUGUCCCGUCUCCGCGCGUGGACUCGCCCCAAAGUGAUUGGCAGCCGGCGUACUGGUCCCGGAGCGCAGCACAUGUCGCGCAAACGAGUGCCUUGGUACGGCGGCGUCCAUAAGCCCCUCUCUCACGCUCUUGACCUCGGAUCUGGUAGGGAUACCCGCUGAACUUAAGC